CUCUGCCGAGCACUAUUCCGCGAUUGCUCCUCUGGCAACGUAAGCGCAUUCUACGGUUCACUGGCUCGCAGUUUUGAUCGCUCCCUUUCCCUCCGUUUUGCGGAGCUCAGCAGCAAGCUGCAAGCUUGAUGGGGUGUGGUCGGGUCGGGAUCAUCUUUUUCCCCACGAACAGCUUCAGAUUGCAGAGAGAUCGAUUACUCUCCUGGGAGGAAGACUGAAUGGCAACCGGAUUGUAAUCACUCCAGUUCAUCAAUGAGUUUGGGGCGAACUGAUGACCCGACCCACUUUCUUCUUCCUCCCUUUACUCCCUGGAUCGCUACAUCCAUCAGUUCCUUCCACGCUAGUUUCCCUUCCUUUCUCUAAAAGUUCUCCUCCGAUGAACUUACGCUCGAGCGCUGGAAACGACGGUGGAGAAGUGAACAUUUCUUCCAGAUCUGUUGGAAACGCUGCUCCCAGUCUGGCUGCAUUCAGCCAAGGCCGAGCUGCCGGAUACACCAUCCUGGAAAUUCAAGAAGGUCGACAGCGUCCAAGAAUCAUCGCGAUUGACAAAGUGUGACCGAUCUUCCACCCGCGAGAAUGACCGUUGGGAGCAGCGGAUAUCCGGCAAGAGCUCCUCAUUUCUACGAUCCCAGUCAGAGCCCGGGCAGAAAAGAAAGGAAAGAAUGCACAUUGAACUGAA